UCGCGCCCACGGCAUCCAAGCCCGGCUAUUGCGGGCGGCGUUGUCCCCUCCGAAUCCCCCCUCUCCCUUAGAUAUAAAGGUUCGUCCUCCUGAGCACUGUCUCGAUUCGUUGAGGGUUCGUUGGAUUCGGAGGAUGGCCAGCGCGCCACCACGCCGGUCCGCUCGCCGGGUGGAGGCUCCGAGGUCGAGAGAGGCACCGGGUUGUUGGAGAAAAGAUUACACCGUUUGACAAUAAAGUGCAGCUGAAAAGAAGCUUUCAAUAUUAGUUGAUGUUCAAGGCUGGGAAUACCAUGUACUGGGAGGUGCUGCAAAUUUGCUUUCAAGGAGGGAAGGUGAAGCUCCCUAUCCCUACCUUAUAUAUGAAGAAGUUGAACACCUACUGCAGGCUAGCAACAGCAGUGCACAAGAGAAAAGACAUAUUAUUGUGUUACUAUGUGAACUAUAAUAUUAUCAUGCAUGUUUAGCUAGAAUAAUAGUGUUGUCCAUGCUUCAAUUAUUUUUGAUAUGUGAACUGUAAUUCUGAAUUGCUGCAUUCCCUACUGGUCUAGAGUAGUGGUCAUUUCUGAUAUGGUGUGUUCUGGUGUUUAUAUGCAAGCACUUGUUAUUCUGAUAUGGUGUGUAUAUUUCUUAUUUUGUUUUUUCUCUCUAAUCUGAGAAAAUGGUGGUCAUCAUAUACGUUUAAUAUAAUAUAGUAUAGGUCAGUUCUGCUGUUUCUGUCUACUUAUCUAUAUAUAUUUUUUGACUUAUCGUGCUUUAGGCUCUCCUCUUGUUUGGUUUACUCUUGUUUGAUUUACUGAAGCAUUUAGAGCUGCAUUUUCUAGAACAACAUUUUGUGUUCCGAUCAGUGAGGUCAGUCAUCCUCUAUUGUUAUAUAUUAUUAUUGCAUGUGGUUUAUUAAUCCGUCAUAAUUAAAUAUAUUUGACUAGACUAUUCUGCUAAUAAAGAUUUAACAUGCCUUGUUAUGUCAUGAAUUAAUAUCACAUCACAAUUUGACAUAUGCUUCGAUUAGUGGAUGUUUAGGGUUUAUGAUUAAAUGGUUGAUAAUUAAGCACAUGAAUUAUAUUGAAUUAGAAUUAAAAUUUAUAUAUGCAAAAGAUUGAGGAAUAUAAUAAUGUGAAACUGAUGUGUGGUGGGGUAUUGGUUGGGAUAUAAAGUUUAUACGCAUGCGGCUGGUAUAUAGAGGUUGAUGCUUUUUUAGAUAAAAUGGUAGAUGGAAGGCUGCUUUUCUGUAUGCAGCACCUGCAUCCGUCCAGAAUUCUCUCUCAACCACUUCUCUUUAUUCUUCUAUUCCGGAUCUACCAAUAAUGAGAAAGCUUUUUAUUGAACCUCAUAAGCUUUUUAUUGAACCUCAUUUAUUAAACAAGGACAAAUCACAACUCUCAUUUUCAAGUCACAACCAACACAAUUUCAUAGAAACAAAUUUUGAAACUCCACGAAAUUUCAUACAAACAAAUUCAGUUUUUGACAAGUCAAGGUAAAUGGUGAUUUUUAGAUCAUCAUGAUAUAACUUCCUUUUCUUCACAUGAAAUAAGUACUGAACUGAACAUGAACGCCUUUUUUACUAAACUGAACUGAAAAUGCAAGUUUAUCUAACAAAUUUUCCAUAAAAAAGUUUUGAUGGAAUUGGCUGUAUUGAACCGUGAAAGAAAUGCUGCAGACCACUGAAAAAGGAUGGCUAUGUAAGUUAUAUAUGAAUAGUUACAAGGAAUGAAGCUUAUCUGACAAUUAUUUAUUUGCAUGUUUAAUAUAGUUUUAGGUUGUUCGAUGACUAUCGCGAUGAAGAUUAUUAUGUGCUACUGUGGAAGUUCAGUAUUGUCGCUCGAGUAGAAGUUAAAUUCCCGAUUGAACCAUGUUAUCGUGACAGACAACAUUUUAUUUUGUCGGACAUCAAUGUAAGCCAACAUUUAUAUAACUUACAUUUCAAAAUAUAAAAAAAUUAUAUAAUCUCCAUACGACUGCCUUUUUUUCUGCUGGAAUAAUAUCAUGGAGCCAAGAUCAUGGCAAUGACAAAUUCAUACGAGACAGUCAAGCACUUUAACAAUUUGCUACAUGAAAAGCAUGUUUUCAAGAUGCACAAUGUAGAUUUCAAUAUUAGUAUGGGUGAACAUCAGUUUUGACAUAUAAGUGAUCCCAUGGAAUUGUAUCUCACCAGAAAAACUGUUGUGGAGCCGUACAAAGUACCAUUUCAAAUGCUGCCAUUCCCAAAAUAUAUAAUCUUGAACCUUGCAGAUUUUGUCAAACUACCAAACAGGACUUUAGUUGGUAAGAACAUGGAAAUCUUCUAAUAUUUUUAGAUACCUUCUACACAAAAAUUAGUAUUAAUCCAUUUUUCAUCAUGCUUUUGUAGACAUUAUGGCUAUUGUAGUCUACUUAGAUACAAUUCAUUGCACAAUGUGGGGUCCAUUCAGGAAGAUUGUUGUCAUAAAUGCUAGGUAUAUCCCAUUAAUUAUUGAUAACAUGUAAAACAUAAAAUAUUCGAAAUAGUACUAAUUUAUUCAUCUCAACAUCAUAAUCCUAGGUGGUCUCUACAUACCAUUAAAGUUUGGGGUGACUUGCUAAACAAAAAUGCACUCCACUAGGUGUUGGCUAAGGAGAAUUGUACCAUAAUAAUUGGACUAUGUUUCGACGAUUUAGAAGGCAAGGUAAUAAAAAUAUAUGUACCUACAUCUUUCAAACACAUCUGUCAUUAUUUUCUUCUUAAAAUGAUUGGUAAUGGAGAUUUAAAUGUGCAAUUCUAGAGUGCCUCGAGUCAUCUGAUUAUACAACAAUACACUUCAAUCCUUUCCAUCACAACACCCAUCAUUUUGAACAUAAGUAUUUCAAAAAUUACCUGCAUUGAAAUUGUUGUUCACAUUAUAUAGUGGAUUACAUAUAACGGUGGGAUCGAAGAGACAGCAACGAUGAUAAUGUGAGAUUACCUGAUGAGAUAUGCAUUCCUUACACCGGUGAAGAUGAUGAUGUUGAUAGUUUAAUUGAAGAAAUAUUUCCAUCGCUAGAGACGAACAUGCAUAAUUGAGAUUACAUCACAUCUUGAGCCAUCUUAUCAACAAAAAAUGAAAAUGUUGACAAAAUAAAUAUGAGGUUCAUCGAUCGCUUCUCAGGACAAGAGAUGGUUUACCAUAGUUUCGAUAUUGCUGUUGAUGAUCCUAACAACAUCUAUCCUCCUGAGUUCUUAAACUCUCACACCGAGUGGACUGCCUCCGCACAUCCUCAAACUAAAGGUCAACUGUCCAGUGAUUUUUCUCCGAAAUCUUGAUCCUCCCAACGGUUUGUGCAAUGGCACAAAAUUAAUAAUUCAUGAUUUUCAUAGAAAUACAAUUGAUGCCGAUAUUGUUUUAGGACAACAUGCAGGGAAGAGAGUUUUUCUACCACGCAUUCAAUUUUAAGAGGACUCAAUUCCCUCUUAGACUCAGCUUUGCUAUGACGGUGAAUAAAGCACAGGGACAGACAAUACCCCAUGUUGGAGUAUAUCUACUACAUCCAGUCUUCUCCCAUGGACAGUUAUAUGUUGCCUUAUCACGAGCAACAAUGAGAAGCAAUGUAAAGAUUCUUGCGGCUGGAGAAAUGGUUUUGAGCAAAAACUCGAAUGAGACAUAUACAAAGAAUAUAGUGUACAAAGAAGUGCACACUUCUUAGACUUUGUUUUUGUGACAUUUUCACAUUGCAGUAGACAUUUGAUUCGUAUCAGUUUAGUUAUGUAUUAGUUGUUGCCAAAGAAUUUGUGAGAUAUUGAGGUCGAUAAUGUAUGCUUGUGCUCAUUUUUAUGUAAUCGUUGUGCACUAGCAAUUUAUCAAAUGUUUUGUUAGCCG